rnacentral:misc_RNA from 1 species
GACAAGCAUAUGACUACUGGCAGGAUCAACCAGGUAGCACGUCCUCUUUGACAUCCAGCGUCGGUAGUUGCCCACCCGUCCACUUGCGUGGCAAGGCAGAGCCAACUACCGAGCUAGUUGUCGUAAUUGAGCGGGCCUAGCUCGUCCGACUUAUGAGGAUCGGCACAGUAUGUUGCGUAAUCCUACCACUAACUGUGGAGAGGUAGAGGCAACACAUGUUCCGGUUGUUCUCAAAUUCGGAGAGACUAGCUCGUCCGACUUAUGAGGAUCGGCACAGUAUGUUGCGUAAUCCUACCACUAACUGUGGAGAGGUAGAGGCAACACAUGUUCCGGUUGUUCUCAACUUCGGAGAGCGUCCCGUCCUACUUGUAUGAGGAUCGGCACAGUAUGUUGCGUAAUCCUACCACUAACUGUGGAGAGGUAGAGGCAACACAUGUUCCGGUUGUUCUCAAAUUCGUAGAACGUUGUUAGGGUCAGGCCGAGGCAACCAAAAAGGGCCACGAGCCUAUAUCAUGAGCAACAUCCAAAACCAACAGCGAGAGCGAGGCUGCCUUGAUAGUACCAAGCACGGAAACAUGCCGGACCAAGAGGAAACGCCGCAAACGCCAUAUGGCCGCAGUAGAACACCCAAAGGCGUCCACCGCGAGUCAACUUUGUAUGAAGCACCACUGCCCGUAGGUCGGGUAACAUCACGCAAGCACCCGAAAGCAAACUGUAAGAUAUCCCACACGAAUGAGAAGACACGGCGCCAAUAGUCGGCCGCACAAAGACGGGGGAACUACCAGCAGACACGGGUCCAAAACAGCUCAUGCGCUCGCGUAGCCA